rnacentral:rRNA from 1 species
GACGAACGCUGGCGGCGUGCUUAACACAUGCAAGUCGAACGGAAAGGCCCUGCUUUUGUGGGCUGCUCGAGUGGCGAACGGGUGAGUAACACGUGAGUAACCUGCGCUUGACUUUGGGAUAACUUCAGGUAACUGUGGCUAAUACCGGAUAGGAGCUCCUGCUGCAUGGUGGGGGUUGGAAAGUUUCGGCGGGUGGGGAUGGACUCGCGGCUUAUCAGCUUGUUGGUGGGGUAGUGGCUUACCAAGGCUUUGACGGGUAGCCGGCCUGAGAGGGUGACCGGCCACAUUGGGACUCAGAUGCGGCCCAGACUCCUACGGGAGGCAGCAGUGGGGAUUAUUGCACGAUGGGCGGAAGCCGGAUGCAGGAACGCCGCGUGCGGGAUGACGGCCUUCGGGUUGUAAACCGCUUUCGCCUGUGACGAAGCGUGAGUGACGGUAAUGGGUAAAGAAGCGCCGGCUAACUACGUG